AUUAUUAUAGCACGUUUUACCGAACUGCUAUCGUUAAUGAUUUAAAAUUUUCCGUAUUAUAUAAUAGCGCUAGAUAAACGCUAUGAUAGAGUGAAACCUAAAAUAACACUUAAUUAAUGUUAUUUUGAAAAUUAAGUGAGCGGGAAAAUAAAAGCACUGAUUCCGCCAAUAUAUAUCAGGAAGAGCGACAAAGACAUUAUUUAAUCGGCUUCAAAAAUGUUAUCAAAGACAUAUAAUAGCAUUUUUCUAACGCUAAGAAAAACUAAUUAAACCCCUAAAUCCUAAACAUUGUUUCAAACCCUAAACUCUAAAGAUAACCCUUAAAACUCUAAUCUUUUCAUACUAUAACUUUAAAUCUUAAAAUUAAACUAAAAAUUAAAUCUUCUUAAUCUUAAACUAUAUUUCCUAAACACAAAUCUUUAAUCUUUAAUCAAACUCUUUAUCAUAAAUCUUAACUUCAAACAUAAACUAUACAUUCAAUACUCUACAAAUAUUUAUAACUAAGUCUCACCACUAAAAUAAUAAUUAAUAAUUAAUAUAUUUAAUAAUUCAUUAUAACAUUUAUAACCACUAGAUUAAAAUUUAAAUUCCAAACCCUAUAUCUAAACCCCAAACCCUAUUCCUCAAACCCCAAUAUAUUUUGAACCCUAUGUACUAGACCAUAAAUUAUAAAUUUACCCUGUAAAACUAAUAUUUUCUAACUUAAACACCAAAUCUUAACACAUAAAUUACAAAUCUAAUUUUUUAAAUUUUAUUCUCAAAUUCCACUCUAAACUAAACAUAAACAGUAAAUAUUUUUUUAAACUGAUAUAAUCAAAAUAUACUUAUUAAAUAUAACUCUCAUAUAUGCUAUACACCUUAUAUAAUAAACACUAAAAUUUAAACUAAACUCUGAAUACUAUAAAUUAAUCUUAAACUUUCAAAUUAAAUUUCAAUACUAUACCCAAAUAUCAAUCACAAAGUUUAAAAUUUUAAAUUUAAAUCUAAACAAUUUAAUUUGUGAAUUCUAAAUCUUAGAUUUUUUUUUCUCAAAAUAAUUUAUAUUAACGAAAUUUAUCAUAAAUAUUUUAUAUAUAAAAAAACAAAAUAGAAUAAGAAAUCAAUGGUGUUAAAAGACAAUAGGAAAACAAAUACAUAACAUCUCGUUGGUCAACAGAAAGUAGCCUAUCACAUAGAAGGGUGAGGAUCAUGCUUUGUGUAACCACAUCCAUUGAUAAAAAUGAAUCCAACGGACCAAAAUGCACUAAGAUAAAAAAUACACUUUUUCUUCAUAUCUCUUUCUUUCUUUCUCUCCUCUGAUCUCUUCGUAUCCUCUAAUCUAUCUCUCAAUAUGUCUCCUUCGUGAAUCUAAACUUUCUCAACAACCACCACCAUCACCUCCGACAGAAUUAUCUCAAUUUCCACCCCCUCGUUCUCCACUACUCUACCUGAUUACUCUUUUUAUUUCUUAUAUCCUCAAAGUUUUUCCUUUCUUCAGAUGCAGAUUUAAAACAUGAAGAAGAUAGGAAACAGAUCGGGAGGGAGGAGUCAGAAGAAGCUUGACAGCAGAGGAGGUAGAAGAAUCGUGAUGGUGGAGGCAUAAGAAGCCUCACGGCGGAGAAGGCGUGGCAAGCAUAUGAGUUUGUCGCUCAGCCGUAACACCGGUGGCUCUACCACCAGACUGAGUCUUCGCUUCAGCCAUGGCAAUCGGAGCUGGUGGAGGUGGAGGUGUCGGUGUAAAAAGCUGAUGGAGUUGACGAAGUCUCAUGGAGGAGAGGAAACGGCUGGAUUCUUCUUUUCUUUUUUUAGGUUUAGCUUUUUUUUAUUUGGUUUAGUUUAAACCGAGUUGGAAUUGUGGUAGUUUGACUUUGGCUUUUAAUUUCUGGUUUAAUUUUGUAAACCAGAAUUUAUUUGUAAACCAAUCUUAAUUUAUAAAUAAAAUUUAUUUUAUUUUUAAUUAUAAAA
rnacentral:lncRNA from 1 species